GACGAACGCUGGCGGCGUGCUUAACACAUGCAAGUCGAGCGGUAAGGCCCUUUCGGGGGUACGACGAGCGGCGAACGGGUGAGUAACACGUGGGUGACCUGCCCUCAGCUCUGGGAUAAGCCUGGGAAACCGGGUCUAAUACUGGAUAUGACUCCAUGACGCAUGUUGUGGGGUGGAAAGCCUUGUGCGGCUGAGGAUGGGCCCGCGGCCUAUCAGCUUGUUGGUGGGGUGAUGGCCUACCAAGGCGACGACGGGUAGCCGGCCUGAGAGGGCGACCGGUCACACUGGGACUGAGACACGGCCCAGACUCCUACGGGAGGCAGCAGUGGGGAAUCUUGCGCAAUGGGCGAAAGCCUGACGCAGCGACGCCGCGUGAGGGAUGACGGCCUCGG
rnacentral:rRNA from 1 species